GCGCCGUUAGCUCAGCUGGUAGAGCAGCUGACUCUUAAUCAGCGGGUCCGGGGUUCGAAUCCCUGACGGCGUA
rnacentral:tRNA from 1 species